GCUAAAACCCGCCCAAUACCCACAAACCGUUGAUCCAAAAAGAAGAGACAAGGAUUAUCUGCCCUCCGGUGCCCUUUCGUGCCUGUUUUUACGAUCAAGGUUGAGUUACGUCAACUGCUUAACUAUGACCAUAGAAGGAGGCACAAGACGGAAGAAGUGGGAGGGCAGACAAUCUUGUCCAAAAGAAGACCCAUAAACCCUAACCAGUCAGAUUAGAGAGAGCUUAGAGCUAUAUCCAUGGCGACAGAGAGCUCGAAUUCGAGCGAACGGCAUGCCCUACCGGAUAUGACUCACAAACACUUCUUCGGUGAGCCUUCCUUUUCGAUAUUUUCCGGUUCGAUUAUUUUGAUUAAACGGAUUUCAUGGUUUCUGACGCAACUAAGAUCACAGUUUUUUUUCCCCCCCUUAAUUUGAACAUUGAAAGAAAUAAUUCAACCAGCGACGGAAAUCAAAGGAAAUGUCUAUUUAUUUAUGAAAAAUUGUUAUUGGAGGGAAGAACAUAAAUCAGGAUUUGAUUUAAUUGUCUUUAAUCUGUGAAUGUCGUUAUGAGGGAGUUUCUGUGGGGUGCUGUUGCUGGAGCAUUUGGGGAAGGAAUGAUGCAUCCGGUCGACACCGUAAAAACACGCAUUCAGGGCCAGGCUAUUCUCUCUGCAAGUCAGAAACCGAAGAGCAUAAUGCAUAUGGUACGAGCAGUCUGGGCAGCCGAUGGAUUGAGAGGCUUUUAUACGGGUAUAGCUCCAGGUGUCACCGGUUCUCUUGCAACUGGAGCAACAUACUUUGGUGUCAUCGAGUCGACCAAAAAGUGGAUUGAAGAAUCACAUCCAAGCCUUGAGGGACAUUGGGCGCAUUUCAUUGCUGGAGCGUUGGUUCAAGGCACGAUGGCCUCUUGGAGUUCUGUUGUCAUGAAGGAUAAUAUCGCUAUGAAGCCUGGUAUCCAAAUGUAUGGUUACUAUACUGGGAUUUUCCAUGCUGGCUGCUCAAUAUGGAAUGAGCAGGGGCUAAGAGGAUUAUAUGCAGGUUUUGUUUUACAAAGGCUUGAAAGAUUUGACAGAGUUGGGAAGCAGAAAUACAUACAGGAUCCAAAUUUCCAUACUAAUAGUUCUGUCAAGGGGCUUGCACUAGGAGGAUUGGCUGGUGGUACAAAGGCUGGUUGGAUGCAAUUCGCAGCGUAUGGAGGGCCGAAGGUGCACCAGGGAUGUUCAGAGGCAGCAUCCCCAGGAUUGCAUGGUAUAUUCCAGCUUCAGCACUUACGUUUAUGGCUGUGGAAUUUCUCAGAGAACAUUUCAACGAAGGAUUGAGCAACGAGAACAGCCGAGAAGUUGCUAGCAUGUCAGUGGAGAAAAAGGUAUCACCUUUACAAGGAGCCGCUUGAGAAGUAGAAAUAUAUGCACAGAUUCUUUUGCCCAUCAUGUAGUUCUGACGAGACUUUUGUCGUGUUUUCGUGAAUCCAAAACCUCCGGCAAGCGGCCUCAUUGUGCGAGUUAUCUCCUUGAAUGGUGAUGGUUGGGUAAAAAACUACUCCCUGAGGACGUUGCUGGCAGUGUAACGGCGGCACCUCCUCUUCCACCACCACCACCACCACCUGCAAGCAUCGGGCCAACAGCUUUUAGAUAAUUUUCUAGAACCGUCGGCUUUUCCAUUUUGUAAUUUAUGUUGUCCCCUGUACUUUGAAUGGAGUUUUCAUAAGAUGCUAAAGAGAAAGAAAAAAAGAUGGAUAUAAUGCGCCAGCAAGUACUCUGCCUACAUGUGAUUUUUUCAUCUUCAAAAAGUCGUAUUGGUUAUUGAACUUAUUACAGUGUGUAGCAUUGAAAUUUUUGAAUAAUUAAGAAUUUCCUUAAUUUUUUGCC